rnacentral:rRNA from 1 species
UACGGAGGAUCCGAGCGUUAUCCGGAUUUAUUGGGUUUAAAGGGAGCGUAGGUGGAUUGUUAAGUCAGUUGUGAAAGUUUGCGGCUCAACCGUAAAAUUGCAGUUGAGACUGGCAGUCUUGAGUACAGUAGAGGUGGGCGGAAUUCGUGGUGUAGCGGUGAAAUGCUUAGAUAUCACGAAGAACUCCGAUUGCGAAGGCAGCUCACUGGACUGCAACUGACACUGAGGCUCGAAAGUGUGGGUAUCAAACAGG